AUCCAGCUGACUAGUCUCAAAUAGGACGAAACGCGCAUCUCGGAU
rnacentral:hammerhead_ribozyme from 1 species